AGCCGGGUGACCGCGCAAUCCGACGAUUCCAACCGUGUCAGGUCCGAAAGGAAGCAGCACCACGAUUCGAAGGAUGUGCCGCGGGAACCCGGCUUUU
rnacentral:SRP_RNA from 1 species